GUCUCGAUCGCGCAGUAGGCAGCGCGUGAGUCUCAUAAUCUCAAGGUCGUAAGUUCGAUCCUCACUCGGGGCA
rfam:Ciona savignyi cont_7378, whole genome shotgun sequence.